rnacentral:lncRNA from 1 species
ACCCUAAGUCCCAGCCCUUGAGGGGUCCAUGAGACUGGGGCAGCAGCAGGGGCAGGUACAGAGCACCUCAGCCGCCUCUCCACCUGACAGCAACAUCAAAGCCGAGGCCAAGGCGGGAGGGCCCAGAGUGAGACACCUCUUCCAGACAAGACUUGGUCGCUGCCUCCUCCUCUGUCACCCUGCGACACAGCCCAGAGUACCAGGCGGCUGGAGCACUGGGGGACACCCGGACAGAACCCUCCCUGGACCAAGUCCUCCAGGAACGGGAUGAAGCCAUUGCCAAGGAAGCAGGCGGUGGAGGCGGAGCUGCAGAGAUGCAAAGCCAGGCUACACGCCAUGGAGGCCCAGCUGCUGGAGGUCCUGGAGGAGAAACUGAGGCUGAGGCGGGAGCUGGAGGCCUGGGAGGGAGGACGUGCAGCAGCUGGUGUGGCAGCAGGUCCAGAAUCAGCUGCAGAGAGAGGCCAAGGGUACUCGGGG